rnacentral:rRNA from 1 species
AGAGUUUGAUCCUGGCUCAGGAUGAACGCUGGCGGUAUGCCUAACACAUGCAAGUCGAACGGAAGUUUUUUAAACUUUAGUGGCGGACGGGUGAGUAACGCGUGAGAAUUUGCCUUUAGGAGGGGAGCAACAGUUAGAAAUGACUGCUAAUGCCCCAUAUGCUUUAAUAGUGAAAUGGAUUUAUCCGCCUGAAGAGAAGCUCGCGUCUGAUUAGCUAGUUGGUAAGGUAAUGGCUUACCAAGGCGACGAUCAGUAACUGGUUUGAGAGGAUGAUCAGUCACACUGGAACUGAGACACGGUCCAGACUCCUACGGGAGGCAGCAGUGGGGAAUUUUCUGCAAUGGGCGAAAGCCUGACAGAGCAAUACCGCGUGAGGGAUGAAGGCUCGUGGGUCGUAAACCUCUUUUUUCAAGGAGGAAUAAAUGACGUGUACUUGAAGAAUAAGCAUCGGCUAACUCCGUGCCAGCAGCCGCGGUAAGACGGAGGAUGCAAGUGUUAUCCGGAAUCACUGGGCGUAAAGCGUCUGUAGGUGGUUUAAUAAGUCUAUUGUUAAAGCUUGAGGCUUAACUUCAAAUCAGCAAUGGAAACUAUUAGACUUGAGUAUAGUAGAGGUAAAAGGAAUUUCCAGUGGAGCGGUGAAAUGCGUAGAUAUUGGAAAGAACACCGAUGGCGAAGGCAUUUUACUGGGCUGUAACUGACACUCAGAGACGAAAGCUAGGGUAGCAAAUGGGAUUAGAUACCCCAGUAGUCCUAGCAGUAAACAAUGGAUACUAGAUGUUGCCCGUAUCAACCCGUGCAGUAUCGAAGCUAACGCGUUAAGUAUCCCGCCUGGGAAGUAUGCUCGCAAGAGUGAAACUCAAAGGAAUUGACGGGGCCCGCACAAGCGUGGAGCAUGUGUUUAUUUGAUGCACGCGAGACUUACAGGUUUGACAUGACAUGAUCUCUGAGAGAGAGUGCUUUAGACAUGUACACAGUGGUGCAUGGCUGUCGUCAGCUCGUGUUGUGAAAUGUCGAGUUAAGUCUCGUAACGAGCGCAACCCAUGUCUCUUGUUGCUCAUUGAGUGCUUAAGAGAGACUGCCGACCAACAUCGGAGGAAGGUGUGGAUGAUGUCAAGUCAGCAUGCCCCUUACAUCCUGGGCUACACACGUACUACAAUGGUAGGGACAAUGAGCUGCGAUCCUGCGAAGGCUAGCCAAUCUCAAAAACCCUAUCUCAGUUCGGAUUGUACUCUGCAACUCGAGUACAUGAAGGUGGAAUCGCUAGUAAUCGCUGGUCAGCUAUACAGCGGUGAAUACGUUCCCGGGUCUUGUACACACUGCCCGUCACACCAUGGAAGCCGACUCUUCCCUAAGUCGUUACUCGAACCCAUUGGGACGAGGAUGCCGAAGGCAGGGUUGGUGACUAGGGUGAAGUCGUAACAAGGUAACC